UGGGGGAUAUUGCACAAUGGGCGAAAGCCUGAUGCAGCGACGCCGCGUGGGGGAUGAAGGCUUUCGGGUUGUAAACCUCUUUCGCUAUCGAACAAGGCCCGCUUAGGGUGGGUUGAGGGUAGGUGGAGAAGAAGCGCCGGCUAACUACGUGCCAGCAGCCGCGGUAAUACGUAGGGCGCGAGCGUUGUCCGGAAUUAUUGGGCGUAAAGGGCUUGUAGGCGGCUUGUUGCGCCUGCUGUGAAAACGCGGGGCUUAACUUCGCGCGUGCAGUGGGUACGGGCAGGCUUGAGUGUGGUAGGGGUGACUGGAAUUCCAGGUGUAGCGUUGGAAUGCGCAGAUAUCUGGAGGAACACCGAUGGCGAAGGCAGGUCACUGGGCCAUUACUGACGCUGAGGAGCGAAAGCAUGGGUAGCGAACAGG
rnacentral:rRNA from 1 species